UGAGGAAUAUUGGGCAAUGCACGAAAGUGUGACCCAGCAACGCCGCGUGGAGGAUGAAGGUACUCUGUAUUGUAAACUCCUGUGAGAGCAGAUGAAAGACUAAUUAUUAAUUAGGAUGACCGUAUGCUCAGAGGAAGCCCCGGCUAACUACGUGCCAGCAGCCGCGGUAAUACGUAGGGGGCAAGCGUUGUCCGGAUUCACUGGGUGUAAAGGGCGCGUAGGCGGGAUAGCAAGUCAGUGGUGAAAUCUUGCAGCUCAACUGCAAAACCUGCCGUUGAUACUGCUGUUCUUGGGUGUGGAAGAGAGAGGCGGAAUUCCGAGGUGUAGUAGUGAAAUACGUAGAUAUCUGGAAGAACACCAAUUGCGAAGGCUGCUUCUUGGUCCAUAACUGACGCUGAGG
rnacentral:rRNA from 1 species